UGGGGAAUAUUGCACAAUGGGCGCAAGCCUGAUGCAGCCAUGCCGCGUGUGUGAAGAAGGCCUUCGGGUUGUAAAGCACUUUCAGCGAGGAGGAAGGUGGUGAGCUUAAUACGCUCAUCAAUUGACGUUACUCGCAGAAGAAGCACCGGCUAACUCCGUGCCAGCAGCCGCGGUAAUACGGAGGGUGCAAGCGUUAAUCGGAAUUACUGGGCGUAAAGCGCACGCAGGCGGUUUGUUAAGUCAGAUGUGAAAUCCCCGGGCUCAACCUGGGAACUGCAUUUGAAACUGGCAAGCUAGAGUCUCGUAGAGGGGGGUAGAAUUCCAGGUGUAGCGGUGAAAUGCGUAGAGAUCUGGAGGAAUACCGGUGGCGAAGGCGGCCCCCUGGACGAAGACUGACGCUCAGGUGCGAAAGCGUGGGGCAGCAAACAGGAUUAGAUACCCUGGUAGUCCAGCGCUGUAAACGAUGUCGAUUUUGGAGGUUGUGCCCUUGAGGCGUGGCUUCCGGAGCUAACGCGUUAAAUCGA
rnacentral:rRNA from 1 species